AGAGAGAGAGAGAGAGAUAAGAGGAGUAUCUUACUGGGUGGUUGCGCUCCCGAUCUAGCCGAAGAGAAAGAACCUGACGCUGCGGAUCAGUAGUAGAAGACCUUAAUAAAAAAGGGAUCUCCUGUCUCGAGGUCGGUGUUGAGCAGCAACAGGGACGAAACAUCCACGUGUUUCUCCGGGACGGACCCCUCGCACACCUCCGUCGAUGAGUGGUCAAUGGCAUAGGUAAUUAGGCACAUGCCUAGUCACAGGGGAAGAAAAAAUAAGAGGUGGAUGGGAAGUGUAUCGACGUGGAGGAGUCCGUGUGGAAGGAGACCCAGAUGGGAAGAUGAGCUUCACACCGUUGAUCCUUGUCGGUCUUCACACUAGGAGCCCAGUUGUCCCAACAACAAUGUCAUCCCACCGCUGCUCUUCCUGUGUGGCGCAAAGCCAGGACCUUUGAUGCGCUCCUUCCUCUCUCUCAUAUCCCGCUUCCACGGCAGGUCGGAGGGACGGGAUCAAAGGCAUCCCCUUCCCUAGAUCCAGAAGGCACGGGACGACGGUUGCAAUGCAUCGCAAGGAAUGGAUGGAGAGCACAAGCAGCUAUGAUUUUUCUUCGUGAGAUAUUACAUCGGGAGCCAGGUGGGGAGAGAUGGGGGCAUGCUACGUGUGUGUGCGCGUGUGGCGGCAGUUUUUUCGGUGAUGGGUGGGAGCAUGCGCAUGGUUUUCCGCAUUUUGUAGUGCUUGUGAGAUGGGUUUUUUUUUCGUGUGAGGAAGGGGAGGACGAUGGCUGGUUGAACCAUCAUGACGAGGAUGACGACGAAGACGGUUGAUUUCCCUUUAAUAGUGGAGAUAUGAGCGGACAAUUGUGGUUAGUAGUAAACUGGGUGG
rnacentral:lncRNA from 1 species